CCUACGGGAGGCAGCAGUGGGGAAUCUUGCGCAAUGGGCGAAAGCCUGACGCAGCCAUGCCGCGUGUAUGAUGAAGGUCUUAGGAUUGUAAAAUACUUUCACCGGUGAAGAUAAUGACUGUAGCCGGAGAAGAAGCCCCGGCUAACUUCGUGCCAGCAGCCGCGGUAAUACGAAGGGGGCUAGCGUUGCUCGGAAUUACUGGGCGUAAAGGGAGCGUAGGCGGACAUUUAAGUCAGGGGUGAAAUCCCAGAGCUCAACUCUGGAACUGCCUUUGAUACUGGGUGUCUUGAGUGUGAUAGAGGUAUGUGGAACUCCGAGUGUAGAGGUGAAAUUCGUAGAUAUUCGGAAGAACACCAGUGGCGAAGGCGACAUACUGGAUCAUUACUGACGCUGAGGCUCGAAAGCGUGGGGAGCAAACAGGAUUAGAUACCCUGGUAGUCCACGCCGUAAACGAUGAUUGCUAGUUGUCGGGAUGUUUACAUCUCGGUGACGCAGCUACGCAUAGACAUCCGCCGUGGGAGGUACGGUCGCGAAGUAAGUUAAACGUUAAAGGUUAAAGUUAGUUACGGCGUGAGACGUUGCCGACGGACGACGACGAGGGAGGAGG
rnacentral:rRNA from 1 species